CACAUAAAUUACUGUGCUCUGCAGCAAACAAUUGCAAACAACAUACCUCAAACUAUAAGUUAACUAAAUGAAUUCAUUAAUGCAAAACCAUAUUGCUAGCAAACGUUGCGUUUGUUAUUAACGUUAGUCAUUAAACAUUUGCUAUCAAACGUUGUUAUCAAAAACGUUUUGAUGCCCAAAAGCGACCCAGAAUAAUAUAUAUACACUGAGAAUCAACUUAUUCAAAGUAUGACACAAACACAACAACGUUAGCUUGAAUAGUAAGCUAUCUAACCGACCCAUAAGUAGUUAGACGUUUUGAACUAAUGUUAGCUAGCAAAUUUGCUAUUAGAGGCUAACGUAUUUUUUUCUCCUCUUCCUUUUUCUUCGUCUUCCUCUUUCUUUUUCUGCUUCAAACUGCGCGGUGAACGUCGGCGGUGCUGAAGGUGCAUAGGGCGGGACUUGGCGUGGCCAUAGUAGGAUUCGUAAACUCGCCUCCGGCCCCUCCCCUUCGUUGCCGGCAGUUAGCUCCUUUCUGCUACUGGCUUUAGCUUCAUUUCUACCGUCAAUAUUAAUUCAAUAACUGCUUCUAAACCAAAAACUUCACCAGCGGACAUGUUAGAGCGGGAGUCUGACCUGAAAUCACAGAGAAAUGAACAUCAACAACAAUCAGGAUUACAGUGACGUUUUCCUCAGGUACAGCAGUGAGCAGUGACCUACAGUCUACACAGCCCAGUGAAGUUAAACAUAUUAUAUAUUACAUAAUAUUAACAACAUUAGUCAAGCAGUUGUUUCUAGUGAAGAAACACCCAGUAAAUGUACCAAAGUAAUCAGAGUAAUAGUAUAAUGAUUACUGUAACCUCCCAUCUGUUAUAUUCUUUAUACACAUUAGUUUACUGAGACCAUGGAAACAGAAACCUGGAAUACUUUAUCCUGUACAACAUGUCAACAUAACUGAAGGAAUCACUCAUUUAAUAAAGUAAAUUGUUUAUGUGGUUUAAAAACUGCCAAGUAACCAACUGUAAACAGUACGGUAUCCAUAUUUAAUAGUCUGAUAUUUUAACUUAAAAGUAUUAUUACCAAAGUUAACCUUCAGAUAUGUGUAAAAGCUGCAAUUAUGUUUGAACCCCAUUAAAAAUACUGUAUACUGAAUAUUCUAUCAUUUAUAUUAUAUACUGUAUUAUGAUGUAAUUUAUCUUCCAAUGUAAUAAAGUUUGAAUGUGAGACAGUAAUGUUUUGUGUUGCUUACAUUCAUUAAUACAGGUUUAAAUUUCACAUUUUCAUAUUGAUAGAUGACCAGAUUUUCAACUCUUUCAAAAUCUUCAUAAAACCUUUGUGAAAUAACAUGUUAUUUAUAUAAAACCACACUUAUUACUGAAUUUAAAACUGACCAAAACUCUUCUUAAAAGUAAAACACUUUAUUUAUCUUUCAUAUUCCAGUUACACAUGUUGUAAGUAACAAAGCUAUAACUUUUAUGUAAACUGUGCAGACUAUGUCCUACAUCAAGGUUUAUGGUUUCUAGUAUAUUGAAGUGUGAGCUGGUAAUGGAGCUCUGCAGUCAGUGUUCAUCUUGUUGAGUCUUCCUUUGGAUACCCAGACUGUCCUGAUGCUGCAGCUGUCUCUGUCCUCUGAUCGGUCCAGGAACACCUGAGCUUCAUCAGGUCACCUGUAAAACAAGGCAGAUUCAGUGUUACUUGUAAGGCAGCACAUAAUAUACAGUAUAAUAUAAUAUACAGUGUAAUAUAAUACAAUAUAAUAUAAUAUACAGUGUAAUAUAAUAUACAGUGUAAUAUAAUACAGUAUAAU
rnacentral:lncRNA from 15 species